UGAUGUUCAUUUAACACAAUCUAUUUCAUUUCAAAACUUGAUAUAAGUAUUAUUAUAUUUAAAAAUAGUGUUAAGAUGGGGCGGAGCCAAGCAGGAAAACCGGGCAGACACACGCUUGAUGGGCUCUGCAACUGAUAACCCUAGAACAGCGAUUUCUAUCUGCAAUUCAGCUAGAAAAAUUGAGGAUUGUUGCUCCUACAUACCAUGGGUCGCAGAAAAACAAGGGCGGAUAGAUCCAAGAAGAGCAGAAAUAUUGAAUAAUUUCUUUAAGCACAUUGUGCUUAUGGGCCGACACUGAUGGCUACUCCGACUCCUCUGAAG